CAUUAUGCCUACGGGUACAUUAUUUCGAGUUCGAAUCAUUCACUCGACUACUAAGCCUACGGGCUACUUUUAAUUCGAGUUUGAGCAAACACUCACUCGACCAUUACGCCUACAGGAUACAUUAUUUCGAGUUCGAAUCAUUCACUCGACUACUAAGCCUAUGGGCUACUUUUAAUUUGAGUUCGAGCAAGCACUCACUCGACCAUUAUGCCUAUGGGCUACAUUAUUUCAAAUUCGAAUCAUUCACUCGACUACUAAGCCUCCGAGCUACUUUUAAUUUGAGUUCGAGCAAGCACUCACUAGACUAUUAAGCCUACGGGCUACAUUAUUUCUAGUUCGAAUCAUUCACUCGACUACUAAGCCUACGAGUUACUUUUAAUUCGAGUUCAAGCAAGCACUCACUCGACCAUUAUGCCUACGGGCUACAUUAUUUCGAGUUCGAAUCAUUCGCUCGACUACUAAGCCUACGAGUUAUUUUUAUU
rnacentral:lncRNA from 1 species